AAAUGAAAAGUGAAAAAUCACAAUCAGUUUCGACCUGAUCUUUGGUAUGAAAUUACCUUCAUUUA
rnacentral:tRNA from 1 species